ACUAAAUUUGUGAUGUGCUGAUUAGAUUCAGUCAUACCAAGGAAUAUUUUUUCCUUAUGAUCAUUGAAUAAUUUCAAGAUCCUUAUUUGAAGAGAUAAUAUAAUCAUAUCUGUAAUCAAGUAAACUGUGUAUUAAGUGUUCAGUUACAGAAAUGAAACUUAAUUGUAAAGCAACUACUAAAAUGAUUGCUCAUUUCAGUGAAAAGGAUCAAUUAUUACCAAAUUCCUAUCCAGUGUCCUUAAUGAAUACAUAUUAGCACUUGAGUUAAUAGAGAAAUUCACCUGUAUACAAGCCACUAUAGAUUAACCUUUUCCACAGUAUUUUCAGAGACAGAACAUACAGUAAUGAACUUGCAACAUGAGGAUGUUCUGAAAAUAUGUUUAGCUUUUGAAUUUGUAUAAGCCUUUAUAGUGCAUAUCUACUGUAUGCUGAGAACUAAGCACUAAAUCUUUUCCAUGAAAGCUUAUGCUAUAGUAAUAGGAUGCAAAACUGUUUUCGUUCAGAAAGAUGCAUUUUAGUAUAGAUGAACAUAUGAUUUAGGGAUGCUUGUCAUUAGUACAGAAUAGGAGAGAUAGUGGUAUUUUGUUAACAGAGAUCUAAGCAUGAAGGUUAAACUCUCAUUGAAAAUGAGUAUGUGUAUGUGUCCACUCAGUGACUGUCUUGUAGGCUGGCAUGACUGAACAUAUGAAAUUGUGGACAAUAUCAUCUCAUAACUUGUAAAAUUCUUGAGUGAUGAGAAUGUAAGAUGUGGUUAUUUUGGAAAAUAAAGAAGUGUGAGAGACCAAACUGUGGGAAACCAGACCUUCAAUAACUCCCACCCUGAAGAUCUGACUAACCCUUUGAUGGGAGCAGUGUCACCCCCUCCUUUUUGUCUCCAUUCCAAGAUAAGCCACAAGAUGUUUGAAGGCACCUGGGACUGUUUAGAUAGUGCCAGCAUUCCAAGAUAAGCUGCAAGUCGUUUGAAGCCUGCAAUCAGUAUCCACCCCGGAUGUCCAUCCUUCUCUCUGUGCUUUGAUUAUGCCCCCUAGGCUGCUCCCUAUUUUCUCUCACUGUGUGCUUAUAAUCAGGCUACUAGCCUCCAUUAAACAGAUCUUGACAACC
rnacentral:lncRNA from 1 species